CAGCCGCCGCGGUAAUACGUAGGGUGCAAGCGUUAAUCGGAAUUACUGGGCGUAAAGCGUGCGCAGGCGGUUUGUUAAGUCUGCUGUGAAAUCCCCGGGCUCAACCUGGGAAUGGCAGUGGAUACUGGCUCGCUAGAGUGUGUCAGAGGAUGGUGGAAUUCCCGGUGUAGCGGUGAAAUGCGUAGAGAUCGGGAGGAACAUCAGUGGCGAAGGCGGCCAUCUGGGACAACACUGACGCUGAGGCACGAAAGCGUGGGGAGCAAACAGGAUUAGAUACCCCUGUAGUCCCUGUCUCUUAUAA
rnacentral:rRNA from 1 species